rnacentral:rRNA from 1 species
UACGAAGGGGGCUAGCGUUGCUCGGAAUGACUGGGCGUAAAGGGCGCGUAGGCGGACGGCUUAGUCAGGCGUGAAAGUCCUGGGCUUAACCUGGGGACUGCGCUUGAUACGGGUUGUCUUGAGUGGGGAAGAGGGUCGUGGAAUUCCCAGUGUAGAGGUGAAAUUCGUAGAUAUUGGGAAGAACACCGGUGGCGAAGGCGGCGACCUGGUCCUUGACUGACGCUGAUGGACGAAAGCUAGGGGAGCGAAAGGG